rnacentral:rRNA from 1 species
CCUACGGGAGGCAGCAGUGGGGAAUAUUGCACAAUGGGCGAAAGCCUGAUGCAGCAACGCCGCGUGAGCGAUGAAGGCCUUCGGGUCGUAAAGCUCUGUCCUCAAGGAAGAUAAGGACGGUAGUUGAGGAGGAGGCCCCGGAUAACUACGUGCCAGCAGCCGCGGUAAUACGUAGGGGGCUAGCGUGAUCCGGAAUGACUGGGCGAAAAGGGUGCGUAGGUGGUUUCUUAAGUCAGAGGUGAAAGGCUACGGCUCAACCGUAGUAAGCCUUUGAAACUGGGAAACUGGAGUGUAUGAGAGGAUAGUGGAAUUCCUGGUGUAGCGGUGAAAUGCGUAGAUAUUAGGAGGAACAUCAGUUGCGAAGGCGACUCUCUGGACUGUAACUGACACUGAGGCACGAAAGCGUGGGGAGCAAACAGGAUUAGAUACCCUUGUAGUC